CGACGUGGAGAACCUGCCGUAUACUGGGGGAUAACACUUAGAAAUAGGUGCUAAUACCGCAUAAGCGCACAGCUUCGCAUGAAGCAGUGUGGAAAACAAAAAGCUAAAGCUUUUGGUGGUAUACGGUGGAUCCGCGUCUGAUUAGCUUGUUGGCGGGGUAAAGGCCCACCAAGGCGACGAUCAGUAGCCGGCCUGAGAGGGUGAACGGCCACAUUGGGACUGAGACACGGCCCAAACUCCUACGGGAGGCAGCAG
rnacentral:rRNA from 1 species